rnacentral:rRNA from 1 species
GAUGAACGCUAGCGGCAGGCUUAACACAUGCAAGUCGAGGGGUAUUGGUUUUCGGACCAAGAGACCGGCGCACGGGUGCGUAACGCGUAUGCAAUCUACCUUUUGCAGAGGGAUAGCCCCAGAGAAAUUUGGAUUAAUACCUCAUAGUAUAGUACUUUGGCAUCAAGGAACUAUUAAAGUCACAACGGCAAAGAUGAGCAUGCGUCCAUUAGCUAGUUGGUAAGGUAACGGCUUACCAAGGCUACGAUGGGUAGGGGUUCUGAGAGGGAGAUCCCCCACACUGGUACUGAGACACGGACCAGACUCCUACGGGAGGCAGCAGUGAGGAAUAUUGGACAAUGGGCGCGAGCCUGAUCCAGCCAUGGCCCGCGUGCAGGAUGACGGUCCUAUGGAUUGUAAACUGCUUUUUANACAGGAAGAAACACUCCGACGUGUCGGAGCUUGACGGUACUGUAAGAAUAAGGAUCGGCUAAAC